rnacentral:rRNA from 1 species
GACGAACGCUGGCGGCGUGCUUAACACAUGCAAGUCGAGCGGUAAGGCCUUUCGGGGGUACGACGAGCGGCGAACGGGUGAGUAACACGUGGGUGACCUGCCCUCAGCUCUGGGAUAAGCCUGGGAAACCGGGUCUAAUACUGGAUAUGACUCCAUGACGCAUGUUGUGGGGUGGAAAGCCUUGUGCGGCUGAGGAUGGGCCCGCGGCCUAUCAGCUUGUUGGUGGGGUGANGGCCUACCAAGGCGACGACGGGUAGCCGGCCUGAGAGGGCGACCGGCCACACUGGGACUGAGACACGGCCCAGACUCCUACGGGAGGCAGCAGGUGGGGAAUCUUGCGCAAUGGGCGAAAGCCUGACGCAGCGACGCCGCGUGAGGGAUGACGGCCUGG